rnacentral:rRNA from 1 species
UAACACGUGGGUAACCUGUCCCGAUGAUUGGGACAACCCGAGGAAACUCGGGCUAAUACCGAAUGUGCCCUACAGCUUCAAGGCUGGUGGGGAAAGGAAGCUUCGGCCUCCGCAUCGGGAUGGGCCCGCGGCCCAUUAGCUUGUUGGUGAGGUAACGGCUCACCAAGGCAACGAUGGGUAGCUGGUCUGAGAGGACGAUCAGCCACACUGGGACUGAGACACGGCCCAG